rnacentral:rRNA from 1 species
CCUACGGGAGGCAGCAGUGAGGAAUAUUGGUCAAUGGGCGCAAGCCUGAACCAGCCAAGUAGCGUGAAGGAUGACUGCCCUAUGGGUUGUAAACUUCUUUUAUAUGGGAAUAAAACAGGGUAUGCAUACCCUCUUGUAUGUACCAUACGAAUAAGGAUCGGCUAACUCCGUGCCAGCAGACGCGGUAAUACGGAGGAUCCGAGCGUUAUCCGGAUUUAUUGGGUUUAAAGGGAGCGUAGGUGGGUUGUUAAGUCAGUUGUGAAAGUUUGCGGCUCAACCGUAAAAUUGCAGUUGAUACUGGCAGUCUUGAGUACAGUAGAGGUAGGCGGAAUUCGUGGUGUAGCGGUGAAAUGCUUAGAUAUCACGAAGAACUCCGAUUGCGAAGGCAGCUCACUGGACUGCAACUGACACUGAUGCUCGAAAGUGUGGGUAUCAAACAGGAUUAGAUACCCUUGUAGUC